GCACUAGUUGAGCAGUGCAGCUCAAAAGAACAGACCAACUAUGUCUAUGGUCAGCACUGAUGCAUCAUUCUGUGUCUUUAUCAUUUAUUACACGUACAUACAACAAAGAUGGAACGCCAUUUCCAAUUAGAAAUAGUACUGAUAACACAGCCUUUUAUAUACUAACUAGACUGCUGACUUCUGGCGAUGGGAUGAUGGUGGGGUGAAGACGCCAUAUUGAGAGUACCGUGCGUAUGAAUUUGUAAUAUCUGUGAUGUGUCACGUGUUUCAUUAUAGACUACUCUAGUCAUAUGGAUAAAGUGAAGAAAUACAGAAGAUCAAAGAGGUUAGAAGAAAAAGUAACGAAAAGAAAAAGUGAUGGGAAAACAGUGCUGUGUGAGAAAUUGUAAUAUGAAAUCGAAAUCGAAAAGUGGUGUACAUUUGUUUAGGUUUUCCUUGAAAGAUGAAAAUCGUCUUCAUAAAUGGAUAGCUGUAUCUAAAAAACCAAAUUGGAAGUCAAUUAAGAACAGCAAAAUAUGUAGUUUGCAUUUUAGCAGAAAUGAUAUUAUAGCAGGUACGGGAUAUACUCGUGUAAUUUUACGUCCAGAUGCGAUGCCAAGAGGCCAGUCUUCAAAUAAUGAAGAAAAUGAGCAGUGUAAUACAUUGUUAAAUGUAAAAGAAGUUUUCAAUAUUGAAAAUAGUAAAACCAGUAUCUUGACUGACAGUAUUGAUCAUAAUUAUAUUGAUAACGAAGCUGCUAUAAAGAACACAAAUUUAAUGGAAUUAAUUAUAUACACCUAUCGAAAAAGGAGUUAUACACCUAAAUACAAAACAGAUAGCUGUUGAAAUGAAACCAGGAGAAUAUUCCAUUAUAUCCGAUACACGAAGUAUUAGAAGCAACUCAACAAAUACAGACUCAGAGGAAGAAACAUCUAUUAAGGAGACGGUUCAAUCUAAAAGUUUAAAGAAAUUACAAAAUGAAAAUAAAACUGGAAAAUAAAAAUUGAAAUGGAAGUUGCAGAGACGUGAUAAAAAGAUUAGUUCAAUGGAAACAAUGCUUAAUGAAUUACAACAAAAGCAAAUCAUGGAUAAUGACAGUUUGUAAUUACUAAAAGAACACUUUGGUGGUGUUAUGUUCGAAAUUAUGCAAAAUGAAGUAAAAAACCAGAAGUAAAGGUGAACGUUAUACAGACGAGAUACAUUAAAACAACACAGAUACUUUCUACAAACGUCUUAAUGAUGUUCUAACAUUCUAAGAAAAUGUUCAGAUUACCUGCUCCAUCAACUUUGAGACAACUACUAUUGUCAGUUGAUGCAGAGCCUGGCUUCCAUGAAAACGUAUUAUCCGAGAUAGGAAAACUGUCGACAGAUGAUCGAUAUUGUAAUCUCGUGUUAGAUGCCAUGGCACUUAGAAAACGAAUGAUAUGGGAUGAUUAUAAGCAUCAAAUGGUAGGCAUACCUGAUUAUGGAAAUAUGGGACUGUUGG